CCUCACUGAAAUGGAACAGCGGGUUGUAUCAUUCAUACCUCCCUGCUCGAUUCAAGGUUGUGAGGGUGGCCUUGAAAGUGAAGAAUAUGAAAGUAAGUUGCGUAAUUGGUUGUGUGAAUGGCUGUAUGUGCAGUUGUUUACUUAACUGGUCUCAUAGUUUAUGUUAAUGACCAUAUGUCAGACAUAUUAUAGAUUAUCUCAUACAGUAAAGGUAAUUGUGAUCAUGUAAGAUAAAAGAUGAAGUAUAAACUUAAAGUUGAUUUUGAAAUUUGAUUAAUAGUUCCAUUAAUAACCAUACUUUUUGUAGAUUUUGCCUUUUUUCAUUGCAGAGAAAUUGGUAAAUUGGAACUACAUGUAUCUUAUUACUUACAGACACUACUCCAGCAACUCCAGUUUUUCCAGAGACUCUUCAAGCCCUGCAGGAUUUGCCUUAUGAUGGGGCCUUUGUACCACCAACAUACAUGUACUCAGAGAGUGUGAUGUCGGCAGAUGAUGUUCCUCAAGUUGAUGCAGUUUCACAUGUUAAGGCCACAAAGACUCUCAGUGACAAAGAUAACAUUCUGAACAUAGAGAGGGAGAAACUGAAUGUGCUGAAAGAGCUUCUUGAGGUCGAAAAAAAGAGAUUACAUGUGGAAAAACAGAAAUUGGCCUACAUCA